rnacentral:tRNA from 1 species
GUGGAUAUAGCUCAGUGGCAGAGUGCAAGCUUAGCACAUGAGUGGUCCUGGGUUCAAUCCCCAGUAACUCCA